ACACAGAGAGAGGCAGAGACACAGGCAAAGGGAGAAGCAGGCUCCAUGCAGGGAGCCCGACGUGGGACUCGAUCCCGGGAUGCCAGGAUCAGGCCCUGGGCUGAAGGCAGAUGCUCAACCGCUGAGCCACCCGGGGGUCCCCAACCUUUCUUAAUGAAAGAAGUUGUUUUAGCAAAUAAAAAAGUGUGAACAAGGAGACUAAUCCACAAGCAAAAAAAAAAAAAAAAAAGUAUAAUGCGAUGAAUGAAAGACUUGAAGACCAGUGGUUAGAUAUGAUCCACCAAGUAAAAUCAAUCAUUUGUGCAGUGAAUCUACACACAUUUAAAAUAUAUCAAAUAUUUUGUAUUCUGGGGCACCUGGGGGGCUCGGUCGGUUAAGUGUCUGACUCUUGAUUUCGGCUCAGGUCAUGAUCGCAGGGUUGUGAGAUGGAGCCCUAGGCCGGGCUCCGUACUGGGCGUGGAGCCUGCUUGAGAUUCUCCUUUCCCUCUCCUUCCCACCCCGCCCUCCCCCCACCCCACUUGCACCCUCUCUCUCUCUCAAAAAAAAAAAUUUUUUUUUUAAUUCCACAAUAAAGUCUUUUAAAUUUUAUCACUUUUCAUGUUUCAUUAUGUCCUUUUUAAUGACUGUCCCACUUUCGUUUUUUUGUGGGUUUUGUCUUCCAUGGCAAAAUUGCCCUAUGGCCGAUUAGUUAUGCAGUGAAAAUGUUUGUGGCUACAGAAAUGUCUAUGGCCGAGCUGUGUAGAGUGAAACUUUCUAGAACCUUCCUUAACUGCCAGAACUCUAUUCUGGAUAAAAAAAAUCAACCCUGCAUCUCACCUAAAGAACCAAAACCAACUCCAAGGCCGUCCCUUCCAUCGGGUGCUACUCUAAUGCCAUGGGGCUGCUAAGUUAAGUAGUCCUUGAUCCUCAGGCCUAGGGGGCUAGUAUUCUGAAUUCCUUUGAGAGUUCAGGGUCAGGACUGAGAGGGUGGGUCACCCUGGCUCAAACCCAGAAUUCUCGGUAGAGGACAAGAGUAAAUUAGCUCUAGCCAAUCCUCUUCCUUCUGAUUCUGUAAAGCAGGAGAAAUACUCUUCUUCCACAAGUG
rnacentral:lncRNA from 1 species